GCGCUCGAUUCACCAGCACAUGUAGUGGGCAUGGAACAAUACAGAGAAGAUGAACAUAGUCCCUGUGCAAGGGCAUGUAAAUUCAUGAAACAUUCCAUAUUUUU
rnacentral:snRNA from 1 species